rnacentral:rRNA from 1 species
CAAUAGCGUAUAUUAAAGUUGUUGCAGUUAAAAAGCUCGUAGUUGGAUUUGUGGCGUACGGUGUGUUCCGGGCACUUGUUGUCUGAGUAACCUGCUGUUGCCAUCCUUGGGUGGAACCUGUGUGGCAUUAGGUUGUCGUGCAGGGGAUGCCCAUCAUUUACUGUGAAAAAAUUAGAGUGUUCAAAGAAGGCUUAUGCCGUUGAAUAUAUUAGCAUGGAAUAAUGAGAUAGGACUUUUUUGCUAUUUUGUUGGUUUGCGCAAAGAGGUAAUGAUUAAUAGGGACAGUUGGGGGUAUUCGUAUUCCAUUGUCAGAGGUGAAAUUCUUGGAUUUUUGGAAGACGAACUACUGCGAAAGCAUUUACCAAGGAUGUUUUCAUUAA